UAGAAUCUGAGAAACCUGUCAAAAGACA
rnacentral:piRNA from 1 species